rnacentral:piRNA from 1 species
UGGGCACACGUGCUAGCCGGGAUGGU